rnacentral:sRNA from 1 species
UCAUUCUGUAGUCUUCUGAGGGCAUGC